rnacentral:rRNA from 1 species
AUGGUCCCCGUCUCCCCUGAUGCCAACCAGUGCACUGAUGGCAUGGCUUUCCUGAUAUCUCCGAGCAAGGACUUCUCAGGUGCACACCACUCCCAAUACCUGGGACUCCUCAACAAAACAAACGAUGGAAAAGCAAGCAACCGCCUAUUUGCAGUCAAGCUCGAUAGCAGCCAGAAUAUGGAGUUCGAGGACGUCGAUGACAACCAUGUCGGCAUUGACGUCAAUAGCCUCACCUCCAUCAAGUCGCAACCGGCUGGCUUCUACGACGAUGACACCAACGUCUUCACAAGCUUGUCCCUCGUUAGCCGCAGGGACACGAUGCAGGUGUGGGUGGAUUAUGAUGGAGACACCGCGCGGAUCAGCGUGACCUUGGCUCCCCUCAAGGUGUCCAAACCGUCGAGGCCGCUAGUCUCGGCUACCUACAACCUCUCAAAGGUGUUGCAAGAUGAGUGGUCCUACGUCAGAUUUUCGGCUUCCACCGGUCCGAUCGACUCACUCUAUUGUGUGCUUGGUUGGAGCUGGGCAUAG